rnacentral:tRNA from 1 species
GGGGUUGUGGCUCAGCGGUAGAGCACUCGCCUAGCACAUGUGAGGCCCUGGGUUCAAUCCUCAGCACCA